rnacentral:ribozyme from 1 species
GCCGCUCGGAACUUUGCACACCUCUACGUGGUGAGCGGCAGGCAACGAUCUGUGAUCGGCAGAGAUGUGAUA